rnacentral:rRNA from 1 species
GUGGGGAAUUUUGCGCAAUGGGCGAAAGCCUGACGCAGCAACGCCGCGUGGGGGAUGAAGGUGCUUCGCAUUGUAAACCCCUGUCGGCCGGGACGAAGGUCCGGCGGAGUAACUACCGCCGGGCUUGACGCUACCGGACGAGGAAGCCCCGGCUAACUCCGUGCCAGCAGCCGCGGUAAUACGGAGGGGGCAAGCGUUACUCGGAAUUAUUGGGCGUAAAGGGCGCGUAGGUGGUCGCGCGCGUCGAGGGUGAAAUCCCCGGGCUCAACCCGGGACCUGCCUUCGAUACGGCGCGACUUGAGUCCGGGAGAGGGGAGCAGAAUUCCCAGUGUAGCGGUGAAAUGCGUAGAUAUUGGGAGGAAUACCAGUGGCGAAGGCGGCUCCCUGGACCGGUACUGACGCUGAGGCGCGAAAGCGUGGGUAGCAAACAGGAUUAGAUACCCGGGUAGUCC